rnacentral:rRNA from 1 species
UACAGAGGUCUCAAGCGUUGUCGGAUUCAUUGGGCGUAAAGGGCGCGUAGGCGGCGGGGUAAGUCGGGUGUGAAAUCUCAGAGCUCAACUCUGAAACUGCACUCGAUACUGCUCUGCUUGAGGACUGGAGAGGAGACUGGAAUUCACGGUGUAGCAGUGAAAUGCGUAGAUAUCGUGAGGAAGACCAGUGGCGAAGGCGGGUCUC